AGAGUUUGAUCCUGGCUCAGGACGAACGCUGGAGGUAUGCCUCAUACAUGCAAGUCGAACGAGAUUUGAUGGAGCUUGCUCUAUCGAUGAGAGUGGCGCACGGGUGAGUAACGCGUGGGUAACCUGCCUCGAAGUUUGGGAUAACAUUGGGAAACCAAUGCUAAUACCGACUAAUUUUUAUUACUGUAUGGUGAUUUAAUAAAAGAUGCCCUCUUCUAUGGUAUCGCUUCGAGAGGGGCCUGCGUCCUAUUAGCUAGUUGGUGGGGUAACAGCCUACCAAGGCGAAGAUGGGUAGCCGGCUUGAGAGAGUGAUCGGCCACACUGGAACUGAGACACGGUCCAGACUCCUACGGGAGGCAGCAGUAGGGAAUAUUCCGCAAUGGGCGAAAGCCUGACGGAGCAAUACCUCGUGAGUGAUGAAGGCUUUAGGGUCGUAAAGCUCAGUCAGCAGGGAAGAAGGGUUAUGGUUCGAAUAGGGCUAUAGCUUUGACGGUACCUGCAGAGGAAGCCACGGCUAAUUACGUGCCAGCAGCCGCGGUAAUACGUAAGUGGCAAGCGUUGUCCGGAUUUACUGGGCGUAAAGAACGCGUAGGCGGUUUUCUAAGUUGGGGGUGAAAUCCUGAGGCCCAACCUCAGGCCUGCCUCCAAAACUGGAGAACUAGAGUUUCGGAGAGGAAGAUGGUAUUCCAUGUGUAGCGGUGAAAUGCGUAGAUAUAUGGGAGAACACCAAUGGCGAAAGCAGUCUUCUGGACGAAUACUGACGCUGAGGCGUGAAAGCGUGGGUAGCGAACAGGAUUAGAUACCCUGGUAGUCCACGCCGUAAACGAUGGG
rnacentral:rRNA from 1 species